AGAGUUUGAUCCUGGCUCAGAUUGAACGCUGGCGGCAUGCCUUACACAUGCAAGUCGAACGGCAGCGCGGGGCAACCUGGCGGCGAGUGGCGAACGGGUGAGUAAUAUAUCGGAACGUACCCUGGAGUGGGGGAUAACGUAGCGAAAGUUACGCUAAUACCGCAUACGAUCUAAGGAUGAAAGUGGGGGAUCGCAAGACCUCAUGCUCCUGGAGCGGCCGAUAUCUGAUUAGCUAGUUGGCGGGGUAAAAGCCCACCAAGGCAACGAUCAGUAGCUGGUCUGAGAGGACGACCAGCCACACUGGAACUGAGACACGGUCCAGACUCCUACGGGAGGCAGCAGUGGGGAAUUUUGGACAAUGGGCGCAAGCCUGAUCCAGCAAUGCCGCGUGAGUGAAGAAGGCCUUCGGGUUGUAAAGCUCUUUUGUCAGGGAAGAAACGGUGGGGG
rnacentral:rRNA from 1 species